ACCAAACUCAAAGGGGUUUCCGUCACCCAGAUUGAGAAGCUGGGGAACCGGCUGUGGGACGUGGCCGACUUCGUGAAGCCGCCACAGGGCUGGGUCACGAAGGGGAGACACCUCCUGGGCCUGGAAAAUGCUGCUCUCUCACCACCUCAACACCCUCCAUCCCACUGUGAACCGCUGGGCUGACGAGGACUGUCCUGAAGAGAAGACGGGGACGCACAGCCACGGUAACUGUGGGCCUGUCUUCCAGCCCCUCCACUGGGAUGGGAGUUCAGGGGUCCGUGCUGGGACACUGGGUGGCCCCCCCGUGCAGGCCCCGUGGUGCCUUUGCAUGUCUUCUUUCUGCCAACAGUCCCCUGCUCACUCCCCUCCCCAGGCCCUGUGGAGACUCGAGGGCCUGGAGUUUGUCUUGUUUUCAAUGCAUAAAAACGGGCCAGUGUGUGGAGUUCAAUGGGACCCACAGGACCUGUGAGAUCCGGGGCUGGUGCCCCAUGGAGAGGGACACUGUUCCCGUGUAAGUGUCCUUGACACCCAGGGCAGGUCCCAGGACCAGCAGAGCCUGCCCCUGACCUCCCCCCCUGCAGGAACCCCCUGCUGCUCCAGGCUGAGAACCUCACGCUGUUCAUCAAAAACACUGUCGCCUUCAGCAAGUUCAACUUCUCCAGAUCCAAUCCCUUGGAGACGUAGGAUGCUGUCUAUUUCAAGUGCUGCCACUGUGACCCACGCUUCAGCCCCACUGCCCCAUGUUCCGCAUCAGGGACCUCGUGGCCAUGGCUGGAGGGGUCCGUGAGGACCCGGUGUUGGUGGCUCCUUGGGGGACAGAGUUCUGGGAGGGCUCGGGGAGAGGGUCCCUGCCUGCAUGCUGGUGGACCAGUGAUGUGCUGUGUGCAGG